UCAGGUAUGGUGUAACGGUAAAGUUCCGACUCUCAACAUCUCUCAGGAUUGAGCACUCGGAGGCCGGGGUUCGAUUCCUCGUAUCCGAG